rnacentral:misc_RNA from 1 species
AGGAACACAAAAUUUUGCUGCUUUAGCCACUCUUUAAACUGAUAAUUUGCAAGAGUAGUUUGCUUACUACCUAAACUUUUAGACUUAUCAUUGAAGUUUGUUACAAAAUCCUUCAGAGACACUCCCCCUAAUCCACAAACCAUGUGAAAUAGGAGAGCUAAUUUGAAGUGGGCAAAUCCUGGCAGGUAGUGUAGCUAUCUUCUACGCACGUAAAGUCCAGAAUGGUUAUACUUCAACUCCUUAUGUGCCAUGUUGAGUUCAAUAUGGUUCUUACUGAUAACAUAGCAAGUGAAAGAAAAUUGAAAUUUGCAGAAAUGAAUAGUCCAAGAGCUAUAACCUUCAAAGUUCUAGCUCACAAAAGCCUACUCCAACUUUGAUAUGUAAGCCUUAAACUGAAA